AGAACGAACGCUGGCGGCAUGCCUAACACAUGCAAGUCGAACGAGACCUUCGGGUCUAGUGGCGCACGGGUGCGUAACGCGUGGGAAUCUGCCCUUGGGUUCGGGAUAACAGUUGGAAACGACUGCUAAUACCGGAUAAUGACUUCGGUCCAAAGAUUUAUUGCCCAGGGAUGAGCCCGCGUAGGAUUAGCUAGUUGGUGAGGUAAAGGCUCACCAAGGCGACGAUCCUUAGCUGGUCUGAGAGGAUGAUCAGCCACACUGGGACUGAGACACGGCCCAGACUCCUACGGGAGGCAGCAGUGGGGAAUAUUGGACAAUGGGCGAAAGCCUGAUCCAGCAAUGCCGCGUGAGUGAUGAAGGCCUUAGGGUUGUAAAGCUCUUUUACCCGGAU
rnacentral:rRNA from 1 species